UUAAAGAACAAGUACAGUGUCAACCACAUCAAGCCAUAUAGAAGAAGCCAAAAUGAUGACAGGCAAGUCCCCACUCAGGAAUCCCACAAGAUCCCCAAAGAGAAUGAGACCAGGACAUUUUCUGAUGGCUCCAACUCUUUGACCAUGGGAAGGGAUUUGGAAAGCAUAACUAAGGACAUUUCCCUGCCACAGAGACCAUCUGUUAUCCACUUUGCCCCUUAAAAAGACACUCAAGUCUGUGAUGCAACAACAGAGUUCGAAUGCUGUGGGCUGCAGAAGACUGUGGUCGGGUGGAAGCAGUUGUUGGACCAUAUAAAUUGUAUGAUACAUCUUUCCGUACACUGCAUGGGACUGAGUGGCUUGCUGAUGAUGUAAGAGACUAAAUCACACUGUCAAAAUGUAUUACAAGUGAAAGUAUAACAUUCUUUAAUGGUUGUGUAUUUUACAAUGCAGGUUGUCGAUGCGUACUUGCACACUCUCAUUGAAAACCAGCAGGCAAGUGGCAAUUAUAUUUAUGUAGCUGUGUUGUGCAUUUCUUGCAACAUAAAUUAAGUUUCAGUUGUUCUCAACAGAAACCUGUUCACCAGCUCUGUGCCGUUAUUGCAACCUCAUUGUUUUCUGGACAAUUCCAGAGACUCAGAAAGAUGAAGUUUCCACUGGAGGAAAUCUGGAUGUGCCCUGUAAACAUUGGGGCUCACUGGGUUUUAGUGAUUGUCAACAUGUCUGACAAGGUCCUUGUGUUGAUCGAUCCGCUGGCAAAUGAAAGUGCACACGAGCGCAAGAUGCUACGUAACUGGCGGUAAUAACAUUUUAACAUUGCAAUUUUACAGUGCAAAUUUGAGCUUUUUUAUAUGAAAAGAACUGCCAUGAUCUUCUUUUAUAAUUUAUUUUAACAAAAAUUAGGAACUUCUUAAGGAUGACAGGCCAUGGAGACCAGGGGCCUAAAUGGACAGUUCAAACAAUGCUGCACAACAAGCAGCACGAUUCCAGCAGUUGUGGGAUUUUAGUGUUGAGGGCAGUGUAAAGGUCAGAGGUAUCAAAAACUGCAUGAAAGCAGUGCCAUCAAGUUUUAUUUAGUCAAAAUCCAUAGAAAUCCAUAUUCCAUCAUCUGACACAAAGGUAAUGUAACUUACCAUGAAUCU